UACCAGCACCCCGAGUGGUCGGGACGAUUAUUGGGCCUAAAGCAUCCGUAGCCGGUUCUACAAGUCUUCCGUUAAAUCCACCUGCUCAACAGUUGGGCUGCGGAGGAUACUAUAGAGCUAGGAGGCGGGAGAGGCAAGCGGUACUUUAUGGGUAGGGGUAAAAUCCGUUGAUCCAUAGAAGACCACCAGUGGCGAAGGCGGCUUGCCAGAACGCGCUCGACGGUGAGGGAUGAAAGCUGGGGGAGCAAACCGG
rnacentral:rRNA from 1 species